UUUUAGCCCUUUUUAUCAGAAUGUUGUUGGGAAAUUGUGUUGAUCAGUGUCAUACUGGAAGCACAAAACCUGCAAUUGAGGGUAUGUCAAGACAUCUUGCUGUUGAAUGGGGCCCAGAUGGCAUUAGGGUAAACUGUGUUGCACCAGGUGCUGUGAAGGACACAGAGGGUUUUCGUAGACUAGUCUGAAGGAAGCUUCAACUGAACUACAUCUUCACAGAAGGCAAACAUCUUCCACCAAACUUCAUUGAGAAUUUGUACCUUUACAAAGACUGGUUUCUCACCAAGAUGUGGCAGAUGGUGUACUCUUUCUGGCAAGUGGUGCUUCAGCUUUUAUCACAACAAACACACUGGCAGUAGAGGGUGGAAGUGGAUGGUAGUUGGAUCACAAAUUAUGUUUCCAUGGCAACAGUGAACAAGUCAAUUAGCAAGUUGUGAUCCACUAGACUCUGGUGUCCAAUUAGUAUCUGAUGGGCACUUGUGCAAAUCCCAAUUAAGUAUGAAGUUUUUAUGGCUCAUUUGUUCUUUAGAUUCUAAUUAUUACUAACAGUUAAU